CACCACCAGCAAUGGGCAAAGAGAUAUCUUGUUGGUGGUGGUGUUCUUGUAUCAGUCAGGGACAUAGCAGUCCUCUGUUCAUCCUAGCUUGAUGCCUGCCUUGAUGGCCAAAACUGUCUUAUGCCUAGGACUCAAUC